rnacentral:rRNA from 1 species
UACGGGGGGAGCAAGCGUUGUUCGGAUUUACUGGGCGUAAAGGGCGCGUAGGCGGUAGCACAAGUCAGUUGUGAAAUCUCCGGGCUUAACUCGGAAAGGUCAACUGAUACUGUGCGACUAGAGUGCAGAAGGGGCAACUGGAAUUCUCGGUGUAGCGGUGAAAUGCGUAGAUAUCAGGAGGAACACCGGUGGCGAAGGCGGCUACCUGGACAGAAACUGACGCUGAGGCGCGAAAGCUAGGGGAGCAAACAGG